GUAGUCAUAUGCUUGUCUCAAAGAUUAAGCCAUGCAUGUCUAAGUAUAAGCAACUAUACGGUGAAACUGCGAAUGGCUCAUUAAAUCAGUUAUCGUUUAUUUGAUAGUACCUUACUACAUGGAUAACCGUGGUAAUUCUAGAGCUAAUACAUGCUAAAAACCUCGACUUCGGAAGGGGUGUAUUUAUUAGAUAAAAAACCAAUGCCCUUCGGGGCUCCUUGGUGAAUCAUAAUAACUUAACGAAUCGCAUGGCCUUGCGCCGGCGAUGGUUCAUUCAAAUUUCUGCCUUAUCAACUUUCGAUGGUAGGAUAGUGGCCUACCAUGGUAUCAACGGGUAACGGGGAAUA
rnacentral:rRNA from 1 species